UAAAUUUAACGUGUUGAACUGACCAGUAAACUUUUCGAAAUGACUAGGAAAUAUUUAUGAAAAUUUACCUGAAGUGAACAGGUAUUUCUGUUAACCAAUCAAAUGCGUAUAAAUUACGAACGAUAAAUUUUGUACAAACAGGAACGAGUAAUGUCGAAAGCAUCCGAGAUGGAAUUAAGUAUUUUUAAUUAAUUAAAAAUUUACCAAUU
rnacentral:lncRNA from 1 species